rnacentral:rRNA from 1 species
GACCGGAACGUAUUUAUUAGAUAUUAGACCAGUCGCAGAAAUGUGAUUGAGAUGAAUCAAAGUAACUGAUCGAAUCGAAGCUUGCUUCGAUAAAUCAUCUAAGUUUCUGCCCUAUCAGCUCUCGAUGGUAGUGUAUUGGACUACCAUGGCAGUCACGGGUAACGGAGAAUUAGGGUUCGAUUCCGGAGAAGGAGCCUGAGAAACGGCUACUACAACUACGGUUCGGCAGCAGGGAAGAAAAUUGGCCAAUCCUAAUUCAGGGAGCCAGUGACAAGAAAUAGCAAGCUGGGAAACUUAGUUUCUACGGCAUUGAAAUGAGAAAAGUGUUAAUCUCUUAGCGAGGAACAAUUGGAGGGCAAGUCAUGGUGCCAGCAGCCGCGGUAAUUCCAGCUCCAAUAGCGUAUAUUAAAGUUGUUGCAGUUAAAAAGCUCGUAGUUGAACUUCUGUUCAGGUUCAUUUCGACUCGUCGUGUGAAGCUGGACAUACGUUUGCAAACUAAAAUCGGCCUUCACUGGUUCGACUUAGGGAGUAAACAUUUUACUGUGAAAAAAUUAGAGUGUUCCAGGCAGGUUUUAGCCCGAAUACAUUAGCAUGGAAUAAUGGAAUAGGACUAAGUCCAUUUUAUUGGUUCUUGGAUUUGGUAAUGAUUAAUAGGGACAGUUGGGGGCAUUAGUAUUUAAUAGUCAGAGGUGAAAUUCUUGGAUUUAUUAAGGACUAACUAAUGCGAAAGCAUUUGCCAAAGAUGUUUUCAUUAAUCAAGAACGAAAGUUAGGGGAUCAAAGACGAUCAGAUACCGUCGUAGUCUUAACUAUAAACUAUACCGACUCGGGAUCGGCUGGAAUAAAUGUCCAGUCGGCACCGUAUGAGAAAUCAAAGUCUUUGGGUUCUGGGGGAAGUAUGGUACGCAAGUCUGAAACUUAAAGGAAUUGACGGAACAGCACACCAGAAGUGGAACCUGCGGCUUAAUUUGACUCAACACGGGGAAACUCACGAGCGCAAGACAGAGAAGGGAUUGACAGAUUGAGAGCUCUUUCUUGAUUCUUUGGGUGGUGGUGCAUGGCCGUUCUUAGUUGGUGGAGUGAUUUGUCUGGUUAAUUCCGUUAACGAACGAGACCUUAACCUGCUAACUAGUCUGCUUGUGAACAACAGGUUGUACUUCUUAGAGGGACUAUUGUGCAAGAAGCCAAUGGAAGUUUAAGGCAAUAACAGGUCUGUGAUGCCCCUAGACGUGCUCGGCCGCACGCGCGUUACAAUGACUGGCGCAGAAAGUAUUUCCUGUCCUGGGAAGGUACGGGUAAUCUUAUUAAUACCAGUCGUGUUAGGGAUAGUUCUUUGGAAUUUUGGAUCUUGAACGAGGAAUUUCUAGUAAGUGCAAGUCAUCA